CGAUGGAUGGAAAACUAACCAAAGAGAGAUGCAACCUAUAACUAAAACAAAAUUCCCAAGUAGAAUGGUGCUCUUAUUACAGAAGAAGAAAGGCAAAGAGGAUGCCAAUAAGAGAACUACGGAUACCUGAGAAUAACAAGCAACGUUAAAAAGGAAAGUUAAUCAAGCCAGAAAUCAAAACAUUUCCAUCUCCUAGAGAAACCCACAAAAUUCUCCUUCUUCCCCAGCAGGUAAUCAAGAAGAGAUUUCGAACUGGAAAACG